AGAGCCUUGUGACAAACCCGUCGCCAUUUCACUGAGAGGAUUUUUUUUAACGUUAACUUUUGCUGGUCCCUUUUUGAAGAAGGAAGCAGUUUCAGAUGAGUUAUAUUACUCUUCCUUUUCUUCUGACAAUAAAACGCGCAACACAACUGCUUAUUAGACUCGAUUUUUUGAGUUAUCAUCUAUAACUUAUUAUCUAAAGGCCUUUCUUUUCUAAAAUUAGAAAAAACCAAAUAUGGAAGUAGUGCAUUGAGUCCUGAAGUGAAAAUUCUCGCGUAUUUAAUCGACGCUGAAGUUUAGCACAGUAAGCUCCAGCUGAAAUACGGUUAACCCGAAGGUAAAAGAAGGAUGUGUUAUUUCCCCAUUAGGGAAUAGCGGAAACAAGUUGCGUGCAGUUCACACAGCUCGCCGGCUCAAAACGAUGGCUUUCUUGCCUCUUUGUGUUUUCGUUCUUGAGGUCUGUUCGAAUGCAUCGAGUGGGCUCCGUGCCAGGCAGGCGCUGGGCUAAUUUAAAAUAGUUCAGCGGAGCGAACGUGACGCAGCUACCGAAGGAGUGAAAACGAAUGGCAGGGCUCGGAGCUCGUGAUUUAUGGCUGUGGACUGGGUGAAACCUGAAAGAAGCAGAUUACACUGGGGAUACAGAGGAUUUUUUUUUUUUAAACUGUGUUAUUUAUUAUUGUUACUGUACUGUCCUCAAGAAAACAAAUCAGUAGAGGACCUGUGUCACCCACUCCUACAUGAGACCUAAUAGCAGCAUCCCCAUACCAGCGAGGGGCUUACUGAGAAGCUGGCAACAGGCACCUGGCGGUGCAUUGUGUGAAGAUGAGACAGCGGACACGAAAGCAGGAGAGAUUCAGGCUGGAAACGAGGAAUAACCGUGUCAUGAUGAGAUGAGUAAAGCGUUGCUAGAUGUUAGUGCGCUGGAAGCACCAGUGCAGUGCGCUCUGUCCAUCCCUGGAGGUCUUCGAAGUGCCAGUUGAUAAACCUCUGAGCAGCCUGCUCUGAUCUCUAGGCUGACCCUGCUUUGAGCAGGGCGUUUGGCAAAAUCACCUCCUGAGCCCUCUUCCAAUCCGAAUGACUCUGCAGUCCUAAGAUUUGGAGAUAGCAAACUUAUUUUCACACCCUAAAUGCAACCAAGCGUUUUAUUCUUUAAAAUGCAAGUGGGAGCCAUUAUGAUCACCUGGGCAAUGUGCAGCCCAGGGGAUCGUAUCUGAGGACUUUUUUUACUUGGAUCAUUGCCCUUGUUCUUUGUCCAGCUUUUAGGAAUAUUUUUUUCCUCACUAUUUGAAGAAUUACAGCACGUAUAUAUUCUCAUUACUCCUACUGCUGGUACUAGUACUUCUGGAGAGUCAGAUGCCGCAUGAGUAAAACUAGAACUGGAGUACCUCAUGAUAAAUGUUGUGGGAGGCUCUGCUUUAUUUCUUGUGACUUUGAAUUGAUUUGGAUUUGCACUUUUUAUGAGUAUCUGGAAGUUUACAGGGUUUUGCUAAAUUUAUGCUAGUUAAGCAAGAAUCCUCUGCAAUAAAUCCUGUUAGAUCUGUGCCCUUUAAUGUAUUAUUUUCAUCCGCUUUUUUGUUGCAACAACACUUUUUCUAUAUAUAAAUUGAAAGAUGAAGUAAAGUGACAUUUCUGUGACGCUAUUUUGUAAAAUUCCUCUUAUUUUUAGAAAAGGAAAAACAAACAAACAAGAAAACAAUAACAAAGCUUUAGCAAGACAUUUUGGUGCCUGGGCUGAUUGCCUGUUUUUUGUCUUGCUGUGAGACACCUGUACAUCUCAGGCUGUUCCUUUUAGCCAGUAGCAUGAAUUUGCAACCUUUCCUCCUGCAGCAGCAACCAGGAGAGCAUGGUCUCUCUGUUUGAUAAUGUUCAUUUUCCCUUAUUCUAGGUACAGAUCUGGGUACUGUUUAGUAGGAGUUCUUAAACUUAACUGGCACUGGAAGCCUCUGUGAAAUCAAUCAAGUAGGAAUCCCCAGCCAACAAGCUGAGCUGGUCUGUGGACAGCUGGUAGCCUGGAAGGCCCCGAUUUGGAUCUCCUAAAAACUGCUGUGUUUGUAGGUUUGGUUUGGUUUCUGACUUCUACAAAAGAAGUUUUUUGAAGGGAUUUAGAGAGGUUUGGGAGGAAUACUUAAGACUUGGCUUUCAGUCUGAAAAUCGUGGAAGCCUCUAAACUUCCCGUCGUGGCAAGAUAAUAUCGCAAACAACAUUCAGCAGUUUUAUUAAGGUACAUCCUGCUGCCCUUGAUGAGGUGAAACGUCUUGUAACUCACUCGACUGCUAAAGAUGCCUAACUUUUAGUGCUGUCACUCUAACAGCAAAUCUUUACUCGAGCCUGACAUUCAUGUCACUGGAUUGCAGGAGUAUAAGGAAUCUGGAAUUAUGCAUGGGAGAUGAAUUCAAACAUGCUUUGAUUCUUCACUGAAAUACCAUCUUUGAGAUUUCAUCGCAGCUGCGCCUUCGGGCUGCCCGCUGUAAUUGCGUUGUGCGUGCUGAUAAACCCGGGGAGCAGCAGACUUCUCAAGUGCCCAAAGGUAGAGCAAGAACUAACGGCAGAAGUUGUUGGAACUUCGCAAGCAAAUUCCAGAU